rnacentral:SRP_RNA from 1 species
AGCACAUCGUCAACUACAUCUCUGAGUGGCACUCCCUGCUCGGCCGCACCGAGGAUUUUGCCGGCC